rnacentral:tRNA from 1 species
AGAAAUGUGCCCGAACGAUUCAAGGACCGCUUUGAUAGAGCGGACUAUGAGGGUUAAACCCCCUCCAUUUCUU